rnacentral:rRNA from 1 species
AUUGAACGCUGGCGGCACGCUUUACACAUGCAAGUCGAACGGUAACAGGUUAAGCUGACGAGUGGCGAACGGGUGAGUAAUGCAUCGGAACGUGCCAGAUCGUGGGGGAUAACGCAGCGAAAGCUGCGGUAAUACCGCAUACGAUCUGAGGAUGAAAGCGGGGGACCGUAAGGCCUCGCGCGAUCGGAGCGGCCGAUGGUAGAUUCGGUAGUUGGUGGGGUAAAGGCUCACCAAGCCAACGAUCUGUAGCUGGUCUGAGAGGACGACCAGCCACACUGGGACUGAGACACGGCCCAGACUCCUGCGGGAGGCAGCAGUGGGGAGUUUUGGAGAAUGGGCGAAAGCCUGAUCCAGCAAUACCGCGUGCAUGAGGAAGGCCUUCUGGUUGUAAACUGCUUUUGUACGGAGCGAAAAGGCUCUCUCUAAUACAGGGGGCUCAUGACGGUACCGUAAGAAUAAGCACCGGCUAACUACGUGCCAGCCGCCGCCGUAA